rnacentral:rRNA from 1 species
GACGACGCGUGGCGGCGUGCCUGACACAUGCAAGUCGGACGGUCCGUGAUUGAUUUUCAAGCUUGCUUGAUUGGUUGUGGAUAGUGGCGGACGGGUGAGUAACGCGUGAACACCUACCCAUUGGAGGGGUACAACCCGUCGAAAGGCGGGCUAAUACCGCGUAAGCCGUGAGGUGAAAGGCUGCUUUUGGUGGCUGCCGAUGGAUGGGUUCGCGUCCUAUCAGCUGGUUGGUGGGGUAACGGCCUACCAAGGCUAAGACGGGUAGCCGGUCUGAGAGGAUGGCCGGCCACACUGGAACUGAGACACGGUCCAGACUCCUACGGGAGGCAGCAGUGGGGAAUAUUGGGCAAUGGGGGAGACCCUGACCCAGCGACGCCGCGUGAGGGAAGAAGGUUUUCGGAUCGUAAACCUCUGUUGUACGGGAAGAAGGAAUUGACGGUACCGUACGAGUAAGCCCCGGCAAACUACGUG